CAAGUCGAACGAUGAUGCCCAGCUUGCUGGGUGGAUUAGUGGCGAACGGGUGAGUAACACGUGAGUAACCUGCCCUUGACUUCGGGAUAACUCCGGGAAACCGGGGCUAAUACCGGAUAUGAGCCGUCCUCGCAUGGGGGUGGUUGGAAAGUUUUUCGGUCAGGGAUGGGCUCGCGGCCUAUCAGCUUGUUGGUGGGGUGAUGGCCUACCAAGGCGACGACGGGUAGCCGGCCUGAGAGGGCGACCGGCCACGCUGGGACUGAGACACGGCCCAUACUCCUACGGGAGGCAGCAGUGGGGAAUAUUGCACAAUGGGCGAAAGCCUGAUGCAGCGACGCCGCGUGAGGGAUGAAGGCCUUCGGGUUGUAAACCUCUUUCAGCAGGGAAGAAGCGCAAGUGACGGUACCUGCAGAAGAAGCGCCGGCUAACUACGUGCCAGCAGCCGCGGUAAUACGUAGGGCGCAAGCGUUGUCCGGAAUUAUUGGGCGUAAAGAGCUCGUAGGCGGUUUGUCGCGUCUGGUGUGAAAACUCGAGGCUCAACUUCGAGCUUGCAUCGGGUACGGGCAGACUAGAGUGCGGUAGGGGAGACUGGAAUUCCUGGUGUAGCGGUGGAAUGCGCAGAUAUCAGGAGGAACACCGAUGGCGAAGGCAGGUCUCUGGGCCGCAACUGACGCUGAGGAGCGAAAGCAUGGAGAGCGAACAGGAUUAGAUACCCUGGUAGUCCAUGCCGUAAACGUUGGGCACUAUGUGUGGGGCUCACUCCACGAGUUCCGUGCCGCAGCAAACGCAUUAUGUGCCCCGCCUGGAGAGUACGGCCGCAAGGCUAAAUCUCAGAAGAAUUGACGGGGGCCCGCACAAGCGGCAGAGCAUGCGGAUUAUUUCUGAUGCACGCGAAGAUCUUACCGAGGCUUGACAUGCACGAGACGCCACCAGAGAUGGUGGUCUCUUUCGACACUCGUGCACUGUGCUGCAUGGAUCGUCAUCAGCUCGUGUCGUGAGAUGUGGGAUAGUCCCGCAACGAGCGCACCCCUCGUCCAUGUUGCCAGCGGAUUAUUGCGGGUCUCAUGGAAGACUGGCGGGGUUCAACUCAG
rnacentral:rRNA from 1 species